rnacentral:rRNA from 1 species
UACGUAGGGGGCAAGCGUUGUCCGGAUUUAUUGGGCGUAAAGCGCGCGUAGGCGGCGCGGUAUGUCGUGCGUGAAAUCUCCCGGCUUAAUUGGGAGGGGCCGUGCGAAACUGCCUGGCUUGAGGCCGGGAGGGGGUGGCGGAAUUCCCAGUGUAGCGGUGAAAUGCGUAGAUAUUGGGAGGAACACCAGUGGCGAAGGCGGCCACCUGGACCGGUUCUGACGCUGAUGCGCGAAAGCGUGGGUAGCAAACAGG